CAGCAAGGGCAGGUACCUACCUAUUUUUCUUUGAAAAUUAGGAGGAAAGUCUGGACAUCAUGAGGAUAAUCGUAGAAGAUAACUACUUCGGCUUACAUAUAUAAUUCAUAAAAUGUAAGUACCACUAGUGCCACAGAGACUAUACUAAUUCUAACUCGUUAGAAUGAAAGGUGAAAAGUCAUUUGAUGUAAGCAAUUGCUACAAAUGAUGCUAUGAUGUGAGUUAUAGCGUUGGUAAACUGUACGUGAUGCAAUGGGAAUGGUAUUUUUAUUUUGAUACAUCCUCUACUGCAAUAUAAAGAUAUACUCAGCUCGAGCAUAUGGGUGACCAUAUGCCUAGAUAGAUUGGUACCUAGAUACAGAAUCCGGCUUAUUACUCUUGCUAAAUU
rnacentral:RNase_P_RNA from 1 species